rnacentral:tRNA from 1 species
GGAGAGGUCGCAUAGUGGUCGAGUGCACUACCUUGGAAAGGUAGCAUACUGGAAACGGUAUCGAGGGUUCGAAUCCCUCUCUCUCCG